CGUGGGCUCGAACACAGCCCGCACAGAAGAAUUACCACACAGAUGGGCAUAAAGAAUAAUCCAGUCAAGCCUGGCCCAGGUCCAAACGAAUAGACAAUUGUACUGAGACUUGGGCAGUUUGUUCGAAUAUCAAGGCCCAAAACUGCCCAGGAUGACUGCUGAGCUAAACGAAUUAAGCUAAAGGCCUGCUGAGAUCAACGCAAAUGGGUCUAAGUGUUUUUUUUUGACAGUUGUAUCCUCAAAUACUAAUAAGGUGAAAAACAAAUUGAAAAAAAAUGAUUUUAUUGACACACAACCUACAGACUACUUUUGGAAUUAGUUUUGACUAACAUUGCUAAUUCAACAUUCAAAUGACAUAUGAAUUUAGAAAUGAACUACUAUGAUUAAGAACGAGACUUAUAGAUUGGUUUUCUACUCAUUAAAAAAAACUGUAAAUAUGCAUGAGGACUUCAGACCUCGAAAUUGCUUCCUGUUUCAAUUAAUCCUUCGACUUCAAUAAUCAAACUACACAGGAAGAAAAUUAAACUAAUUAAAACCAACGAUCAAUUUCCAGCUCAAAAUUGUUGCUCAGUUCGAAAAAGUAUAUACUAAAUACACUAGAUUAACUAUAACUAAUACUGAUCUACAUUUAAUAGUCCAACUAAAUGUAAGAUCCCUAAAUUAAUUAACCUUCAAUUACCAAAUGAUAGUCAACACAGUCUAAAUCAACCUAAGACAGUCCCAAUUAUAUAGUCCAUGUGUGUGUCUGUUAUCCAUAUAACACGGAACAAAUAAUUCACAUCAACUACCUCUACUUAACUACAAAUCUAUAGAAUUGUAAACAACAGAUAGCAUCCAAAUGACCAGAUUAUUUCCAUUUCAACUUCCAUUCACAGCUAGAACAAAGUUAUUCGAAGAAGUGUACCUGGAAAUAGAAAUUUAGUAAGAAGAAAAGGAGAUCAGCACCAAUAGCAAGCAGAAUUCGAACAAUUAGCUCAGAAAUAGGUUCACUAACCCAGGAGAAGUUCGAAACCAAACAACAUCAGAAACUUAACACAAGACCUCUCGAAUAAGCUCUAAAAUACUUGAAAUCGAAUCCAGGAUCUCCAGAAAGCCAAGCACACAACCCAAAAUAGCUCAAACAAUACCAAUCAAUUUCCAACAGUAAGAAUACCAACAUCAAAUGAUCAAAAACAAACCAGAAAAGUGUUUGCAGUCACCCAGAAUGACCAGAUCAACUAAAACCAACUCCCAUGACCCCAAAAUCACUUGAAAACCAACCAAUAAGCCUCGAAAACUCCAGUAAACAGAUAAUGAGGCAUUAGAGGUGCCUUUUAUAGGCUAAAAUGAGGGCAGCCCUGAAAUCUUUAAUUAUACUAUAUGUCCCUCUUUCUUUUCAAUUUGACCAUUCUAUUUCUAGCUUGCUACCCAAGUUACUGCCCUAUAUCUAUUAAAAUCUACGCUAAAGUUAGGAUACUCUUUUAGCAAGACAAUUCCUAUACUACCCUUCCCUUGUUUUAAAAUUACAAUUCCUAAA
rnacentral:lncRNA from 1 species